CUUGUGUUAUUUAUCAGUGUUAUAGUUAGACAUUUUGUUAGAGUAUUAUCCUAUGUGUAAUAGAUAUUUCUGUUAAAGCAUUGUUUAUGAUGUAAUGGACGUCAUUUGUUAGAAUAAAUAUAACGAUUUGAUUCAAAGGUGUCUGCCUUUAACUAACUUCAGGCUUCAGGCCUUGAGCACAUGGUGGUUCAUAUAUGCACUCGCAAGCGAAUGGCUCAUACACAAUAAUACAGAUGCAAUAGUUUAUAUAUAUAUUAUAGGUUGCAGUACGCAUACAAGUAAUAGUAAUUAUUGCAAAAAGUUCACUUCUAAUAUUUGGCACCCUUCAGAUGUUUGGACAUAGAGUUCACAAAUCCUAAUGUAUUUUUGUUUUGAGUCCAUUAAGCUAAAACCCUCUAAAUAACCCAGAACUGAAAUCGUCUCUAGCGUGGAUAAGAAAUUGGCGCUGGCUCGCGAAUCUUGAAACCCUGCUUGGAUGAUCGAGGAAGUUCUGUAAAAUUUCAACAGGAUUGUAGACGUACAUGAACUGAAUCUUGGUGGAGCGAAAUUGGAGAGGAUUCUGGAACAGAGAUGAAGAAUGUUCAUCUGGUUGGCAGUUCGUCUGUGCCAUACCACACCGAAAAUUUGUUCUGAUAAAUGUUCAGGAGAGAAAAGAUUCAGAGUAAUACUUGAAAUAUAGGGUUUCUCUUUCUUAAGGACAAUUUUUGCACUAAUACUGAAUCUGAAAGACUUUGUCCAACAACGAGACGCAUGAAACAUUUUGCCAAAGUCUCUCCUGUCAUUUAUGGAUGCAAACGGACUUGAA